GGAGGAAAAGAAACUAACAAGGAUUCCCCUAGUAACUGCGAGUGAAGCGGGAAAAGCUCAAAUUUAAAAUCUGGUAGUCCUCUGGCUGCCCGAGUUGUAAUCUAGAGAAGUAUUAUCCGCGCUGGACCGUGUAUAAGUGUCCUGGAAUGGACCAUCAUAGAGGGUGAGAAUCCCGUCUUUGACACGGACUCCCAGGGCUUUGUGAUGUGCUCUCAAAGAGUCGAGUUGUUUGGGAAUGCAGCUCUAAAUGGGUGGUAAAUUCCAUCUAAAGCUAAAUAUUGGCGAGAGACCGAUAGCGAACAAGUACCGUGAGGGAAAGAUGAAAAGAACUUUGGAAAGAGAGUUAAACAGUACGUGAAAUUGCUGAAAGGGAAACGCUUGAAGUCAGUCGCGUUGGCUGGGGAUCAACCUUGCUUUUGCUUGGCUUACUUCCCAGUUGACGGGUCAGCAUCAGUUUUGACCGGUGGAUAAAGGCUAGGGGAAUGUGGCACCUUCGGGUGUGUUAUAGCCCUUGGUCAUAUACACUGGUUGGGACUGA
rnacentral:rRNA from 1 species